AAUAAUAUAUGCUUGGACUGACAGGCCCUUGUGUCAGGACAUUACUGCAUUACUAUUUUAAGAUACAUUUUUGCUAGUCAUAAUGUAAUGGACCAAGACAAGGAAGUGAGUAAAAUGAUAAUAAUGUUUAUUGACACAGCUGAAGCAGCGGAGAUCAGUGGCAGAAACUGAACACAGAAAGACAGGAACACAAUACAGACUGGGAACUGGGAACAUACAGGAAACAUGCUGGAACCGGAAAGGAAGACAAAAGGCAAGUUUCAAGAACAAAGAAAAUCAUACAGGCUUGGACAACAUGAAGAGUGAGUAAAUGAUUACACAAUUGUGAAAUAAAUAACAAAUAAUUAUAAACAUUAUUAACAUUUACAGCUUUGUGUCCUGAAAGCAUGAAAGCACCCAUAGAGAUAUGCAUACAUGGUAUAUCUUGGGACUAUUCCAUUGUGCAGCAUGUCCGUUUUCUGCCCAUGUGAGCGAUCCAAAAUAUUUCAUUGAUAAGUUGGAGCGAGGAGGCACAGAGGAGAGUCUUGCCGUCUCAUGUGCCAUGUGCCUCAUUGCUGAUAAGGAGCCAAGCUUGAACAGUCAAUGGUCACUGGGGCUGCACCAGGGGCUGCGUUCUGCAUCAGAUCCCUGGAGUUCCUUUUGGUUAAGUCACCUCACCUAAAAGCAAGGGUAAAACUGUCUGAACUACACAUCUUUUGCAGUAUCUUAGAGGAGUGUUUUGACAUUCACGACAGAGUCACUUUGCUUUCUGCCUCCUUAAGGCAGUGGAGAGUCUCUUAGGGCCAAGCCAGACAGACAGAGUCAAAAAUCUCAUUAACCUUUAAAUGCUUCAGAUGAAUAUGCUGUCCUUAAUUUGUGA